rnacentral:lncRNA from 1 species
GAGAAAUCAUAGAUUUUUAUAAAAUGAAAGCUGCCUCUGAAGCACUGCAGACUCAGCUGAGCACCGAUACAAAGAAAGACAAACAUCUAACAAUUUGGACAAGACAGCAAAUGCUAUUGUCCAAGUUUUCUAAAGAAGAAUCUGAAGUGAAAUGACAUCAAGAGACCUAUCAAGACCUGUAUCCAGGAAAAGGUUUAUAUGUGGAAGAGACUUGCCCUGUCUCAGAACUUCUUCCUUCGAACGCUAUAUCCCUAAUUCAAUAACAAGUAAACUGAAGCUCAGCAUGGUCUAGGAACUUUGUUACAUUAACACAGCAAGUGAGUGUUGCAGCCUGGAUCCAAAAAUCAGGCCUGGUCGACCUCAAAGUCCAGAUUAUUGACCUUUCUACCAUAAUGUAUGGAGGAAUUAGAGAAAGAACAAAUCAGUGUGAAGGAGAAUUGUCAGUAAAAUUACAAGAAAAGAUUGAGAUCAUAAUUGACCUUUGAGGAUAAUAAAAUUUAAAGACCAAAAGGAUGGACUUCACAGAAACAUGACCUUAGGUUGUUUUUGCAGUUGUAGUAACUGGUUAUAUGACCAACAAAAUAUGAAGAAUGGGUACAAAUUCUGAUAGUAAUGAUCAGUCACUUUGCAAAUAUAAAGUUACUAUUUACUACUGUA